rnacentral:rRNA from 1 species
CCUCGGGUGGCAGCAGUGGGGAAUCUUGGACAAUGGGCGCAAGCCUGAUCCAGCCAUGCCGCGUGAGUGAAGAAGGCCUUAGGGUCGUAAAGCUCUUUCGCCAGAGAUGAUAAUGACAGUAUCUGGUAAAGAAACCCUGGCUAACUCCGUGCCAGCAGCCGCGGUAAUACGGAGGGGGUUAGCGUUGUUCGGAAUUACUGGGCGUAAAGCGCGCGUAGGCGGAUUAGUCAGUCAGAGGUGAAAUCCCAGGGCUCAACCCUGGAACUGCCUUUGAUACUGCUAGUCUUGAGUUCGAGAGAGGUGAGUGGAAUUCCGAGUGUAGAGGUGAAAUUCGUAGAUAUUCGGAGGAACACCAGUGGCGAAGGCGGCUCACUGGCUCGAUACUGACGCUGAGGUGCGAAAGUGUGGGGAGCAAACAGGAUUAGAUACCCUUGUAGUC